UGAGACAGGUGCUGCAUGGCUGUCGUCAGCUCGUGUUGUGAAAUGUUGGGUUAAGUCCCGCAACGAGCGCAACCCUUAUCCUUUGUUGCCAGCGAUUCGGUCGGGAACUCAAAGGAGACUGCCGGUGAUAAACCGGAGGAAGGUGGGGAUGACGUCAAGUCAUCAUGGCCCUUACGGCCAGGGCUACACACGUGCUACAAUGGCGCAUACAAAGAGAAGCGAACUCGCGAGAGCAAGCGGACCUCAUAAAGUGCGUCGUAGUCCGGAUCGGAGUCUGCAACUCGACUCCGUGAAGUCGGAAUCGCUAGUAAUCGUGGAUCAGAAUGCCACGGUGAAUAC
rnacentral:rRNA from 1 species